rnacentral:rRNA from 1 species
CCUACGGGACGCAGCAGUCGGGAAUAUUGCGCAAUGGAGGAAACUCUGACGCAGUGACGCCGCGUGCAGGAAGAAGGUUUUCGGAUUGUAAACUGCUUCAGACAGGGAAGAAACAAGACAGUACCUGUAGAAUAAGCUCCGGCUAACUACGUGCCAGCAGCCGCGGUAAUACGUAGGGAGCAAGCGUUGUCCGGAAUUACUGGGCGUAAAGGGCGCGUAGGUGGGUGCUUAAGUCAGGUGUGAAAACUCUGGGCUCAACCUGGAGACUGCACUUGAAACUGGGUAUCUUGAGGGCAGGAGAGGAA